UACGUAGGGGGCAAGCGUUGUCCGGAAUCAUUGGGCGUAAAGAGCGUGUAGGCGGCCCGGUAAGUCCGCUGUGAAAGUCGGGGGCUCAACCCUCGAAUGCCGGUGGAUACUGUCGGGCUAUAGUGCGGAAGAGGCGAGUGGAAUUCCUGGUGUAGCGGUGAAAUGCGCAGAUAUCAGGAGGAACACCAAUUGCGAAGGCAGCUCGCUGGGACGUAACUGACGCUGAGACGCGAAAGCGUGGGGAGCAAACAGG
rnacentral:rRNA from 1 species